rnacentral:rRNA from 1 species
AAACCGUUUAGGGGUAAACCCUGAGAAACCCGAAAGAUCGAAUGAGGAGACUCAUCGUCAGGGGGGUCGGCUUCCAUGUGGUUCGCGAUGAUGAAGAAAUUUAUUUCAAAUUCACGCUUCCACUGUGGCAUGUCUGAUUUCUUCGGCGUGCACUUCUCCUCUAGUAGAACGUCGCGACCCGCUGGGUGUCGGUUUAAGGGCCGAGAUUGAAGACUGCUUCGUAGCUUCGGCGUGCGAUUGCAGGCACUUGGAUUCCCGACCGGCUGCUCGGCGGUAUACAAACAAGGUAUCGAGCCGCACUUGAAUGCGUUCAGACUCGUCGCAAGCCCGACCAUUGUUAAUCCUGGAGUUACGGACCUAGUGCCGUACCUGGGGGUGGUUAGCUGUUGGUUGACGAUGUUCUCGAACUGGCUUAACUUUAAUGCGAUACCGGUCAGCGACGCUAUUGCUUUGGGUACUUUCAGGA